UACGAAGGGGGCAAGCGUUGUUCGGAAUCACUGGGCGUAAAGCGCACGCAGGCGGAUUGAUAAGUCAGGGGUGAAAUCCCGGAGCUCAACUUCGGAAUUGCCUUUGAUACUGUCUAUCUUCGAGUUCGGGAGAGGUUGGCGGAAUUCCUAGUGUAGAGGUGAAAUUCGUAGAUAUUAGGAAGAACACCAGUGGCGAAGGCGGCCAACUGGCCCGAUACUGACGCUCAUGUGCGAAAGCGUGGGGAGCAAACAGG
rnacentral:rRNA from 1 species